UUGGUGGGCCUAAAUUGGCCCGCGAUGGGACUCGAGUUGCCCCCAAGCUCAUCUCCUCUCCGGCCGUAUCGUCGGUUCUUCUCCGCCUCUCGCCUCGGCUGUCGGCUUCCUUCCGCCGUCUGCGCCACCAAGGCACCAACCGAGGCGGGCUUUCGAUUGCAGCAUGGUAAACUGUAUCUACCUCGCCUACAUUUGUAACAGUUCUCGAUAUGGUAGUGGGACGUCUCAGAUCUGGAACAGAGAUGGACGGCAAGUUCAGGUGAUAUCCAGGUAACAUUGUUUCAUUGCACCGCACGGAUUUCUUGAUGGUGCACCCGAAGAACUUGUUGUAAUCACUUGGAUCAAUGUCGUAAAUCAGGCCAGGCUCAGCUGCCCUGUUAGGGUUUAUGUGCCCCCCUCCAUAGUCGAAUGGGUCGGCGAUCUUUUGAGGCAAUCCUUGUGCAAGUAUCGGCAUGCCGCGCUCAUCAGUUACGGACGCUUGAACCAUGCAAUAUGUGACAGAGGUUAGACAAAAGCUGAGAUGCCUUGACAUGAAUUAGAAGUGGUGUUCAGAAUUCUGGUUGGCAUGAACUAUGUUACCAGUGGUCAUGAUUGCUGAUUUUAGUGCAGCUGGGGACCAAUUUGGGCGCAGGGCUUUCAGCAGCGCGACGACACCUGCUACGUGUGGUGCUGCCAUAGAUGUCCCUGAUUUAAAUACAUAUGCAUCUCGUUCUGCUGCUAAGAUGCUGACUCCUGGUGCAGCUAUGUCAGGCUGUUAAGGAAGCAAGGCUGCAGUGAGAUGACAAUAUAAUGGCUCAGUCACCAGUGGAGUUGUACAUUCUUUUUUGCAGGCACCUUGAUUACUUCAGGGUAGUGGAUGGAUGGACCUCGUGAGGAGAAUUCUGCCACUUUUGGGGUCAGUGCCUCUUCACCUGUCACUGUGCGUGCUGGUUCAAUCUUUGCAACAGGAGACCUGCUUAAAAAAAGUCAGAAAUUUAUCGGAGAAAAGCUUCAACUCAUUGCUGAAGGAUGCAGUCAACCGGGGCCUUCUAGCUUGCAUGCCAACCAGUGAAGGUCCAGAAGGAUGCAGGUUACCUUGCGUCGCCCAUGUAUUUCUUGAUCUGGUUGGCAGUGUCCAAGUCCACAAGAACACACGCAAUGCCUUUGCAAUCAGCAGUUUCACCGAUAAGGUCCGUGGUAUAUUCAGCAAAGAUGAGACCGGAACCUCCGCCAUCCCGGACGUUUUCCAACGCGGUCAGGAAAGGCGCAAGCCAUGACGGGCGGAGAGAUGAACACAUCACAAUUUUCCCUCGCACGUCCGUGCCGUUCAGAGCACUCGCAGUGCAUCUAACCAAGGACAAACAUAAACAAUCUUAUCAGCUUCAGAAAUUCCUGAAGUAGUCAAACAAAUUAAGCAGCAAGAAUUUGUCGUACAAGCCUCCGAAUGCAAGAAGUUUGAAACUGUUGAUUGAUGAGUUCUUCCCUCCGUAGUACAAGGACUGUCCCUGCAAAAUGAACAGAGCUUGUUUAAGAUCCUCCAGAGUCAAGAAUCAUGAGUCGUUACUAAUUACAUAUUUUCAUUUA